CCAGCUGCCAAGGAGCUAGAGGAGCACAGCUGAGUCCCAUCAUAUAAACAUUAAGUGAAUGGGAUUCUUUGCUUCAUAUGAGAAGAGGAAGAGGAGGAAGAGGCCACGAGUCUUUGAAUUAACCUCAGCAAAGCCACCAAUCGGAGACUGCACGGACCACACUCCACAGAAUUCAGUGCCAGCAAAGUGCGCAAGCCUCAAUAUUUGAGCCACCAACAGCACCAUGAGAACAUGAUGGUUGGAGCGCAGCGUCUGUGGUGUUGGCAUGGACUGUGAUGUCUGGACUCAGUGGUUGUGACUAUAAAUGGACCACAGGGCCUCUGUGGCUUGUUUGGAUAUCCUUUCCUGCUACAAAAUUUCCAAGCUUGCCUGUAUAGCCCUUCUGAGUAUAAAGCUUGCUCCAAA